CUGCAGCCCGAGUGGUGACCGAUAUUAUUGAGCCUAAAGCGUCCGUAGCCGGUCUGGUAAAUUCUUGGGUAAAUCGGGCAGCUUAACUGUCCGACUUCCGAGGAGACUGCCAGACUUGGGACCGGGAGAGGUCAGAGGUACUCCAGGGGUAGGGGCUAAAUCCUGUAAUCCUUGAUAGACCACCUGUGGCGAAGGCGUCUGACUAGAACGGAUCUGACCGUGAGGGACGAAAGCCAGGGGAGCAAACCGGAUUAGAGACCCCCGUAGUCC
rnacentral:rRNA from 1 species